UGAACGCUAGCGGGAGGCCUAACACAUGCAAGCCGAGCGGUAUUGUUUCUUCGGAAAUGAGAGAGCGGCGUACGGGUGCGUAACACGUGUGCAACCUGCCUUUAUCUGGGGGAUAGCCUUUCGAAAGGAAGAUUAAUACUCCAUAAUAUAUUGAACGGCAUCGUUUAAUAUUGAAAGCUCCGGCGGAUAGAGAUGGGCACGCGCAAGAUUAGCUAGUUGGUGAGGUAACGGCUCACCAAGGCGAUGAUCUUUAGGGGGCCUGAGAGGGUGAUCCCCCACACUGGUACUGAGACACGGACCAGACUCCUACGGGAGGCAGCAGUGAGGAAUAUUGGUCAAUGGGUGCAAGCCUGAACCAGCCAUCCCGCGUGAAGGACGACUGCCCUAUGGGUUGUAAACUUCUUUUGUAUAGGGAUAAACCUACCCUCGAGAGGGUAGCUGAAGGUACUAUACGAAUAAGCACCGGCUAACUCC
rnacentral:rRNA from 1 species